rnacentral:rRNA from 1 species
AGAGUUUGAUCCUGGCUCAGGAUGAACGCUGGCGGCGUGCUUAACACAUGCAAGUCGAACGGAGCACCCCUGAUGGAGUUUUCGGACAACAGAUGGGAAUGCUUAGUGGCGGACGGGUGAGUAACGCGUGAGGAACCUGCCUUGGAGAGGGGAAUAACACAGUGAAAAUUGUGCUAAUACCGCAUGACGCAGUUGGGCCGCAUGGCCCUGACUGCCAAAGAUUUAUCGCUCUGAGAUGGCCUCGCGUCUGAUUAGCUGGUUGGUGGGGUAACGGCCCACCAAGGCGACGAUCAGUAGCCGGACUGAGAGGUUGACCGGCCACAUUGGGACUGAGACACGGCCCAGACUCCUACGGGAGGCAGCAGUGGGGAAUAUUGGGCAAUGGGCGCAAGCCUGACCCAGCAACGCCGCGUGAAGGAAGAAGGCUUUCGGGUUGUAAACUUCUUUUAUGAGGGACGAAAGAAAUGACGGUACCUCAUGAAUAAGCCACGGCUAACUACGUGCCAGCAGCCGCGGU